CACAGCUGCCCUGUACAUGAGAGAGAAAAUGUCAUGUUAGUGUUUUUUGAGCUGAAGGACAUGACACAAAAGCUUUCCCUCUUUAAUAAUGAUAAGUUAUACGUGGCGGGGGGUUCUGCUGAGCUUGAUACUUCUAAAUUGCUUAGGCUUUUUGAAUCCCUAAGGAAACCGAAUGCUGUGCUGCCUGGCCAGUGUUCUGCCCCUGUGAGCUUCACUUCUGGCCCUGGGACCCUGGACUACAGGUAACAGAACAGCAAGGGCUGAGGCUAAAUUCCCUUUUGGUAGUGGACCCUCAGGCUCCCCAGUGGAUCUCGCCAGGGAGUGCAUUUCUGCCAGCCCCCCAACCCUGGCCAUCAAGCUCUACCCUCCAAACUUAUCAGUAGUUUUGCUCUGCAAAACAGACUUUACCAUUUUUCAAGGCAACUGCAAUGCGUUCCAGUUCUCAAUGCUUCCUGAAGAAACAGUAGAGUUGGGUGACGGAGUGAAAUACUUUACUAUUCACGUGAUUUACAAUUGCACCCAAAACAACUAUCGGGCAUAGCUGUGCUUGGAAACUUCCUUCCCACUUCGAGACCCCAGCCAUUUUCAAAGUGGAUAUAAGUAACAUGCAAAGGUAUGUCUUGGGUAGUUUUGUUGGAAAGUGUAUCAUCCAUCUCCUGAUCUAUUGCUUUGUGUUGGUUUUAAUUUUCUUUCACUUGAUAUUCUGCUAUGUUUUCAUCCUAUUCUUUUCCUGGACUAAUACCUGUAUCCUGACAGCAGGAUUGAACCUAUUGAUUUUUGAUUGCAUACAGUGGUUUAAUUCAAGGCUUGAGUCAGCAUCUAGAUCUCACUUGAACAUCAGUCUGUCCACCCCAUGGCAACCAUGCUUUUGUCUUGGUUUUUAAAACACUUUUAUUAGUUCUAGUACUGUCCCUGGAGGUGGUAGGCUGGUGUGUGCUGAUUUCAACUCAGUGUCUUUUAAUUCCACAUGUGAAAUUCAUCUCAUGAGACUUUAAGACAAAAUGCAUUAGUAAUGCUUCGGAGCAGGGAUUGCAUCACUCCCCCCCCAGCUGGAAGUGUCAUCGUUACUAGUUUACAGGGUUGUACUCCGUGAUGCUUCUGUUCUCUGUGGAGCUAUUAAUGAGCCAUGAAUUCUGUGUUCUGGCAUCGGAAUGGCACACCCUGCCCAGGGGUGACAGGGAAUGGCUAAUCUCAGCGUUGCCCAUCGUUUGGUCACAGCUGCCAUUUUCUGACUAGUGAGGAAGGGCUUCUGCUUCUGAGGCCGAAAGGAAGAUAUUAUCAAGUGUCAAUUAAAUUAUUUGUUUUCUGAAUUUUAUUUGUAUGAGUCUAGCCAGGUCUCAAAGGUGACACAGCUCAUCUCACAGCACAAUUGAUUCUGCUGUUACUGCCAUAACCUAAUCAUUUUUUUGAGAGUAAAAGCAUUUAACUCUGAACUUAGAGGAGACCAACGAGUAAAGCACACCGGUGAAGAAGUUGUGGAUAAGGGCCUGAGCUUUUGCCAGGAAGACUGCUUUAGGGCGCGAUGGGAAAACAGCCUGAGCAUGUUGGAUCUUGGCCAGGCUAAAGGAAAGCAGCCCAUCGCCUGGAGGAUUGCUCCCACUGCUUCCAGCUUCUUCUAAGAGUCUUGACAACCAAAAAGCAAAGAACACCAAGGGCUUUCCAAGCCUGUUGGGAUUUAUGGAUUCAUUUUCAACUUGGCAACGAGCGCUGGACUCGAACGCAUCUCAGCAGAGAUACCAAAUAGCAACAGCCUCCUACCCUGCCUGUGCAAAAGCUGCCGCCUCCUUUCUGUUAGCAGCCCGUUCCCUCACCUCAGGAGCUGACAAAGCCAAAAAGAAAUCCUCCUGUCUUGGAAAGUGUAAGAGGCUCUGCAGCAGAAACUCCUGAGUCCCAGAUGCUUGUGCUGUGGUGAAAUAUCGGAACAGUCUGUGCUUUCCGUGGGCUCCGGGCCAGCAGCAGAGUUCCUCUCAAGCAGGCAGUGACACAGCACUGCUGCUGAGCUGCCCUUCCAACAAAAGCUCCAUGAGAAAAAACGCUCUGGUCAGGAGAAGAGCCAAGAGAAAUCGAGUUCUCUUCAGCGCCAAAGUCUGAUUUAUUUUCUCAGACACUUUCUCAGCAGAAUGCACAUUCUAUGUAUUUUACUGAAAGAUUCCCCAGAAAGAGACAGAAAUGAAAGAAAAAUAAGUUAUUAAACAUCAAGAGAGGGUUUUGAACAACCACCAAAUUCCUGUGCAUCCUCAAAGGAAAAGGAGAAAAGCUUAUGCACAUGUGUCCAGCAAGCCAAAGGCCCUAUAGAAAGGCAGCGUGCCAAUUUUCCUAUAGAUUUUAAAUGCUUUCUGUAUUGAAAUAUGUAACGUACAUUCCAGACAUAAAAAUAAAUGUUGACAUGUAUGGUUA